rnacentral:rRNA from 1 species
GACGAACGCUGGCGGCGUGCUUAACACAUGCAAGUCGAACGAAGUGGCGAACGGGUGAGUAACGCGUAAUCAACCUGCCCUUCAGCGGGGGACAAAAGUUGGAAACGACUGCUAAUACCGCAUACUGAUGAUGGGGAUUGUGUCUGAUUAGCUAGUUGGAGGGGUAACGGCCCACCAAGGCGAUGAUCAGGAGCCGGGCUGAGAGGAUGAUCGGCCACAUUGGGACUGAGACACGGUCCAGAAUCCUACGGGAGGCAGCAGUGGGGAAUAUUGGACAAUGGGCGAAAGCCUGAUCCAGCCAUGCCGCGUGUGUGAAGAAGGUCGUCGGAUUGUAAAGCACUUUAAGUUGGGAGGCGUUACCAACAGAAUAAGCACCGGCUAACUUCGUGCCAGCAGCCGCGGUAAUUC